GUGCUCACUUGGGCAGCACAUAUACUAAAAUUGGAAUGAUACAGAGAUUAGCAUGGCCCCUGCACGAGGAAGACAUGUGAAUUCGUGAAGCGCUCCAUAUUUUU
rnacentral:snRNA from 1 species